rnacentral:tRNA from 1 species
GGCCUCUUAGCUCAGUGGUAGAGCAGGCGACUCAUAAUCGCUUGGUCGCUGGUUCGAAUCCAGCAGGGGCCA